rnacentral:rRNA from 1 species
CCUACGGGGGACAGCAGUGGGGAAUAUUGGGCAAUGGGCGCAAGCCUGACCCAGCAACGCCGCGUGAAGGAAGAAGGCUUUCGGGUUGUAAACUUCUUUUCUCAGGGACGAAGCAAGUGACGGUACCUGAGGAAUAAGCCACGGCUAACUACGUGCCAGCAGCCGCGGUAAUACGUAGGUGGCAAGCGUUAUCCGGAUUUACUGGGUGUAAAGGGCGUGUAGGCGGGAAAGCAAGUCAGAUGUGAAAACCAUGGGCUCAACCUGUGGCCUGCAUUUGAAACUGUCCAGCUGGAGUGCAGGAGAGGUAAGCGGAAUUCCUAGUGUAGCGGUGAAAUGCGUAGAUAUUAGGAGGAACACCAGUGGCGAAGGCGGCUUACUGGACUGUAACUGACACUGAGGCACGAAAGCGUGGGGAGCAAACAGGAUUAGAUACCCCAGUAGUC